CGCACCAACCUACUAUCCCACUGCCAACAACCCUCCCAAGUGCAUACUCCACCAUAGCUUCCUUCUUCUUCAAACAAUACCAAAAGAAAAUUCAAGAACAUGGAACAAAUACAGAACCAAAACCACCAAAACUUAAGCCAGUUCUCGAGGUACCAGUUUCUAAAGAAAAUAACCCAAUUGUUGCUUUCAGUUUCAGUGUUUUCUUUGCUAUUGUCUAACUACUCUCGCCUUUCUUUUCUCUGUUCUUUCAACUUCUACUUCUCCUCUGUCCCUGUCCAGCUCUUUAGCCACACCAUAGAUAAGAACUGCAUAUUCCUCCUCUGUAAUGGUCUUCUAGUUUUCGUUGCUAAAUUCUCUGGUUUGGUUUGUUCUUCAUCCUCAACGUAUAACAACCGUAGUAGCAUUGAGUCUGUUAAUAACUAUGAAGAUGAUGCAGGCCCAUUAGUAUUGGACCAGUACUCGAAAGUGUCAUUGCUAGAGAAGGAAGAUUUGAUGGCUCAAGAAAAUGUUGCUGGGGAGGACGAAGGAAAAGAAAAUGAUGAGUAUAUCACUGGAGAAGUGGGAAAGAAAGAAACACAGCAGUUCAUUUUAGAAGAUGAACCAGACGAAGGAGAAAGUGGCUUCUCGAUUACUGCAGGAAAUAAAGAAGGUAGUCAAGUUCUCGUCGAAGAGGAUGAUGAUCAUCAAGAAGAGGUUAUCAAAGAGUUCGAUGACAAGUUUCCUGUUCAAGAAGAAGAAGAAGAAGAAGAA
rnacentral:misc_RNA from 1 species